CUCUACUAGAUUUGACCGCCAACCACACCCCCAGACCGAAUGCAGUUUGAUAGUCCAGCCGUGGAACUGAGAGAUGCACUGGGUGUAAUGGGCGAGGAAUUCACGGACCAGUAAUGGGAACCACAGGAUGUCUCAGAUGACAUUAAUAUAAAUACARCGGCGUACACGUUUCACACUGAACUGCAACAACACGACACAAGUGAUGGCAACUUUCAGCACAGAAGGCUUCUCUUCUCUGCAAAGAUCACUGCAGUGAGUGAACUCAUAUGAAAAAUGGUGAGUGGGUAAGGACUGGAUGCCCUAUAACACAUCCUGCUUGAAUACACAGCCCAAAAACUAUAUAUUUAUGUGUGUGUGUGUGUGUGUGU